rnacentral:pre_miRNA from 10 species
GCUGUCACCAUCGGUGCCUUUCUGACGCCCUUCAUUCCACCGGAAUCUGUGCACAGGAACCAGAUUUCAGUGAAAUGAAGCCCAUCAGAGAGGGAAUUCA